rnacentral:rRNA from 1 species
ACCUACGGCCAUACCACCCUGAACGCGCCCGAUCUCGUCUGAUCUCGGAAGCUAAGCAGGGUCGGGCCUGGUUAGUACUUGGAUGGGAGAUU